rnacentral:lncRNA from 1 species
UGGAAUAAUACGCAAACUAAUGUGUACUAACCAAUGAGACAUAGUUAAACUUUUCAACGUUAACUUAGAGAUAGCAACUCUUUCAGGUGAAUUAAAAUUAAAAUUCCCAAAUAGCCGAUACAGGUUAGAUUUAUCAUUAAAAUCGAUUUAAUCAAUUAAACCUGUUUUGGCAAGUUCAGUAAUAACCAACUCACAUUACUGACCCAGUCUUGAUGAUUCAUUGACGUUUACAAACUGAGUUAAAUCGUGUUUGCAGCCUCCAACUAAAAACCCCAAACAUUACGUAAAUUGAAAUAACUGACAAUCAUAAUAAUGAGCAAUCCAUCAGAUGGGUUUCCACCCAUUUCCCCUCUAAUCAGUGGACCUUCACCCACGGAAAGAUUGAUCGCGGACCUCAGCAACGAUGCAAAUCCUAACUAUGCCGAGGGGCUGAAAAUGUUAGAUUUCAAUGCCAUAAGCGAGAAAAAUGCAGACAUUGCGACAGACGCUCUUCAAAAUAGACCAUCAGGCGGAGGCCUUGUGAAGGUUCUCUCCAGUUUAGCCCUCAACUAUGCCCACCAGCAGAGAUGGACAGUGCACCAGUACCUCAGUGCCCAGCAGAGGCACGAGCAGGAAGCUGGGGAGUUCAAGGUACAGGUGGAGAGAACCAGGGAGCUGGCAUCGAAAGCCGAAAAAGAUAAGCUACUGCUAGCUGAGGAACUGUGUGUGAGAACAGAUAAAUUGGAAGAUCUGUCUAACACUUAUAACAAAGAACGCGAACAAUCUCUUGACCAAGUCCGUAUUCUAAAAGAACAACUCGGUUUAGCCAAAACUAAAUACGAUGAAGUCCACGCGAAACUAGAUGAAUCGGAAGAGCUAGUUAGAAAACGGGGCGAGCAAAUUGAUGCCCUACAAACGGUUGUGAAUGAAACCACUCAAAGCAAUAAUGCUCUAUUCCAAAAGCUGCAGACCAAAGACGAUCAGUUAAUGAACACAAUGACCAAGUUGGAGGACAAAACAGCAG